rnacentral:rRNA from 1 species
CUGGCUCAGAACGAACGCUGGCGGCAGGUCUUAGGCAUGCAAGUCGAACGGAUGACAAGAGAGCUUGCUCUCUUGAAGUCAGUGGCGCACGAGUGAGUAACGCGUGGGAAACUGCCCUUCACUGGGGAAUAACGUUUGGAAACGAACGCUAAUACCGCAUACGCCCGCAAGGGGAAAGAUUUAUCGGUGAUGGAUGUGCCCGCGUUGGAUUAGCUAGUUGGUGGGGUAAUGGCCUACCAAGGCGAUGAUCCAUAGCUGGUCUGAGAGGACGAUCAGCCACGCUGGAACUGAGACACGGUCCAGACUCCUACGGGAGGCAGCGGCUAAGAAUAUUGGGCAAUGGAGGAAACUCUGACCCAGCCAUUGCCGCGUGAAUGAAGAAGGCCUUCGGGUUGUAAAGUUCUUCUAGUCAUGAAGAUGAUGACAGUAGUGACAGAAAAAGCACCGGCUAACUUCGUGCCAGCCGCUGC